GCUGCAUCCUCAGCUAACACUUCACUCCCCCGGACACUCGAAGGAGAAGGACCCCCUGAAGGAGGAGGGGGAGGAUAGGAGGAGGAGGAGAGGUAUCUUCUCCGGCCACCAACUGCUAGUCUGCAGCUGAGGUGCACACAGGUGACGGACGUUUCAGUGCUGCUUCAGAGUUGCCUGGCCUAACAGCAUGAUCAUCAGGUGUGUUCAACGCCCGUUUACUCUUUGGUCACGCCAUGGGUCCGAUACACGCUGCCACCGGUGACGGACAAACUUCCCCCUGCCCUACCGCGCUCGGCAGUCGGCACGCGGCCCCUUUCACCACGAUUACACUAUCUCCCAAUGAUUCUUUACUCGACACGCAGUAUAAUAAGCUUUGGUCCUUGUUGCCUCCCUCCAUUUGUUUGGUCUGAUCCCCUGAAGACCUCUGCUCCCGCCAUACGUCUGAAUCCUGGCAAGGCGGAGCUACGCGACGUUCAGAAGCGGACAGUGGACUGGUGACAUCGGGAGACUCCGGUUUGCAUCCUAACAACCAAGGGAGGGAGGGAGGAAAAAAAGAAACUUGUCCUGGCGAUCUGGGAGUGGUAGGUCGUCUGAAAUUUUGCUGUUGUUCUGGAUAGGUGUUGGCGACCUGAUGGAUUGAUGUCCAUCCAGAUGGCUCCAUCGCUAACGCAUGCUUCCUCAUACCUCG